rnacentral:misc_RNA from 1 species
AAGAGCUGUAAGAUUAUAUUUUAUUAUCAGUAAUUAUUGACCGUAUGUAAUAAAACCUUUCAUGGUUUUAUUAAAAAAAUAGAAGAAAAAAAAUGCAAACCCUAACUUCAUAUGGGAGCCAAUGUUGUGACGAAUAGUAUUUAACUCGAGUGUUGGUAAAAUUUUCUGUGGUCAUUCUAAUUUACAAUCUGUACAGUAAUUUACACAAACCUCAAUCCUGAAAUGGAAAUGGAGUAGGCUUUUUUUCAGUUUCAGAACCUUCAAAGGGCCUUCUGAUCUAGCCUCUCGUUCCAGUUUAGGCAACGAAUCAAGCUGCGAAACCAAUCACCCGUUUGAUCAGAUUUGUUAACUGUUGGAAGUGGGUGCUGGCUCAUAUAUAUCCGGACAGAAUCCCCUCUUGAAAGUUGUUGCCUUCUUUUCCCAUCGAAAGAAACCCACGCAUUGCUUCGAGCAUCCUCUGGAAUCUGUCCAAUUUCAAAAAGUGUUUAAAUUGUCUGUCUGAAGAAUAUGUCCAAAACCAGAUGUAAGACCCUUAAUUUACCUUUAAUUCAAGUCUUGCAGAAUCUGGAAGUAUGACUGGCCUAAAUGAGAGAGAAUGCGGACAGAUUGGGGUAAACAGCAUGCAAGGAACAUUUGGAUGCACCUGCAUUUGGGUAGUGCAUCUCAUUAUAUGUAGUUUGUCCAUCAAAAUUAACUAGCAACAAUAACCCCCAACUAGUUUCCAAAAAGGAAAAAAUGGCAUCUGUUUUCAGAAAAUGAGAUCAAUGAAGAAAAUUCAGAGCAUUUCAAGGAAGAGAAGAUAAUUCUACUCUUUUUUUUUUUCAAUUUUCCUUCUUAUUUCAUUUCCUUUUAUUUAUUUCAGAGAAGAAUCCUUGGCAAAUUUAUCAACAGCUUAUGAAGCAUUGGUUUAAUUGAAAGGGAAGCCUGUUUUGGAGUUUGAGCGAGAUGGAUUCAUACUAAUGUCUCAUACUUUCGUGGUGAGUUGGGGCUCAUAGAAAUUGAACAACAAGGAGGUGCAGGAUUCAUAGGUUUUAUUGGGAACAGAUGAUGAUGUUUUGAGAAAAUGCAGUUUGAUUUGCUGGAAUCACAAGUGGAAUAUCCCAUACAGUUCAGUAGAAAUUUAUCUCAAAAUUCUCGAAGCAAUCAGUUCUAAUAAUUCUUAACUAAAAAAACAUAAUUAUAAAGUUCCCAUGAAUCCUGAUGAAACAAGAAUUCCCAAAACUAAGACUCUCAUUGGCUUUAGCAAACCCAAACCCUUUUUUGACCAGCCAGAAAUUUUAGCUUUAUGUGAGUUGAGUUUAGCAAGAAAAUUCAGGCAGAGCCAAAUUUUUUCAAAGAAAAUGAGGCUAAAUUAAAAUUUGGGCCAACCUUACCUUGGCUCUUUUUGGCUUUUCCUGGCUUGAAUGCAAAGUACAUAUGUGUGCGUGUAGCAUUUAUUAUUCACUUACAUACUAUUAAAAUAUAAAUAAAACAUUUCAAACUUAAAAUGAAACUAUGCAAACAUACCAUGGAACCUCCAGCAGCUGUAGAGUAAGCAGUACUGCCUGUAGGUGUGGCUACUAUGACUCCAUCACCUUGCACCUUUGUUAUAAGUCGGUCAUGUUCAUAACAUUCGAUCUUAGAAAGAUACGGAUUAGAACCCCGGUCAACAACCACCUCAUUUAGGAUAUCAAAAACUUUCCCAGGCACUGCUUUACCAUUGCGAAAUAUUUCACAACAGAGGCGCAUUCUAAGAGUUAUAUAAACACCAUCCAGUGUGUUAUUUCCAUGAAUGACUCGUCUUAAGUCCUGCUUGAAGUCUUCAAAACUAUGAGAAGUGAGAAAUCCAAGAGACCCAAGAUUAAAGGAUACAAUGGGGGGAACAGCACCUAUAAACAAAUUUGAUGCAUGGAGUAUGACCCCAUCGCCCCCCAAGCAUGCCACAAAAUCAACCCUUUCAUGAAGAUCACUGCAUCAGGGGCAUCAGAAAGACAGAAUGCCAAUGAGAUGUGAAGAACAAUAAAAGACACAUCAAUGUCACUGCUAGAGGAGAGCACUAUUCGGUCUAAACCUAAAUUUUGAACCAAACCACCUUAACUCGGAAAUUCAGUUGGUUAGGAAUUUUCAAAGUUUGGUUUAAUCGAUUCGGUUUUCAAAGGCCAAAAAUCGAAAUAACCAAAAUUUACCAAAGCAUUGCGCUUUAUUUUUGAGGCUUAGGAUUACUUUAACUAUACUUACUUUCCUUUUUCCUGGCAAAUGCCACCCACCCUCUGCCCCUCUUGAUUUCUCUCUCAACUUCUUUCUCUGAAGACUCUUUCCCCUCUCAACUUCUUUCUCCUCUCAAUUUCAAGUCUCAAUUGAUUUACCCUCUCGAGUCAACUUCAUUUCAAGUUUCAGGCAAUCUUUCACUCUCGAUUUCCCCUCUCUGUUCCAUCAUUCACUCUCAGCUUUCAAACACCAAUCGCCUCUCUACCUCUGAAUCCAGACAAAAUUGACUCCCCUCAAUUGACUUUCAAGCAUUAAGAGUCCAAGACACAGGUGAAUGUCUAGGAGUUACUUGCGGAGGAUCUCCCAUCAACAAAAUCAUUUCUUUCCUUUUAAAACCCUCUCUUUCUAAGCCCAACUUUCACUCUCUCUCCAAAAUCCCGAAACUCAUUUUUACCCAUUCCUAAAUCCUACGAAUCCCAAGCUCUGGUCCUUAAGGUGAAAGUUGAUGUCUUAAUAAAAGUCAGUCCCAACCUAACUCUGAUUGUUGACGUUGCCAAGGAAGAGACAAAGCAUAAGGAGGUUUUUGUUUUCGUUGUUUUUAUGGUUAUUGAUGAAUUCUCAAGUACAAUUUGUUACUGUACAACUGGUUUCUUUUUAUAUCUUGAAUUUAUUCUAAAUGGUUAACAAGUUUUAUUUUCUAUUGUAAUUUGGGUUUCUAAAGUAUGUGUUGUGGUUGCCCAGAAUAUUCUUUUCUACUGCUACUUAUGGUUGGUUGACUAAUAUUGUGGUUGUCAAAAAUGAUAGUUGUGAAAUUUUUCAUCCCCUUUUUAGUGUCAUAUAAAUUAAAAUUUGUGGUUUUCCACAUUUCGAACCGGCUCAGUUCUGUUCAACCACCUUGUUCAGUACUGUUUCUUCUCCUAUUAGGUUUGGUUUAUUUGAUUUUUCACUUUUUUGAACCGAACCAACUGAUGCUCACGCCUAGUCACUACCCAUUAGAUCACAAUUUACAGUACCUGGUAUCUUGACUGUAAAAGGUCUGAAUAAAUCCAAACCCUGGGAUUCUAGCAAAUAUGUCAUGAACAUCAGGUUCAACAAGCACAUUCAUUUUCUCUUGGUGAUAAAGGUAAGAGGCCACCUGCACAUUGGAUACAAAACAUACGGUUAGAUUGACUAGAUGGAAAUAAGGUGAUCUCAGUUGUACUCACAGCCACCAAUGAAUUAUUCAUAUAUCUUUCAAUGCAAAUAAAAGAAAGGUGGGAUGUCCACUUAAAUACCUAUUUCAUGAAAACGCACCCCUUCCCCCAGAAAACAAGAAACAUUAAGAUGAUGUUGUCUUUCAUUUGGUCUCUAAUUCUGAAGGAGCGUCACCAGAAAUUCCAAGGUGGUUAAGAGAACAGAAUAGGCUAAGGAAUAUAACUGGCACUCAUAUUCAAUGAUUCCUACAGUUCCAGUGGAUUUGAUCGUCAAGGUUGAUCAAGAGAAAUUGGCCACAGAUUGGCACUGCCUAAGGAAUGAUUGGCACAUUGUAGGAAUGAGAACGCACACAGCUAAAAUCUGUCAAUAAUAUUGGCUUCGCCACUACACCACAGUGGAAAAAUUCAAUGCAUGAAAAUGAAAUGCAAGACCUUUAUACAUUGUCACUACAGAAUUGCAUAGAGGCAAUUUCUUCAUAAGCUAAUACACAUGUGAGACAUUUUAUACAUAAACCUUUUUCUAUAACCAAUACCUGCGUAAGCUAACAAGAUUUUAGUUCCCAACCUCAGAAAAUUGAUCUAUUCAAUUCUGAGUUCAAUUCCUAACCGAGAUUGGUGUUCGUUAAGGAAGAAAAAAAGGAUAACAGAAAAAAAACACAGAAAAAGAGAAUAAAAUAUUAAAAAGAAAUCAAUAGAAGGUUCUUGUUAUUCAUUCACAUGUUCCUUCACAGCUCUUACAUGCUAUUUCUUCAGUUUGAAUCUCAAGUAACAACUGAUUAACAACUUGUAAUACACAAGCUACAUCAGCAAAAACUUGUAAGUUGCAAACAAAUGACAUAAGCAAUUAACUAAUCCUAUGUGCAUUCUCUCUCAGUAGUCAGUUCUCUACACAACUAUAACAAGAAAGCAUUUGCUAAAGAUUUGGCUAUCAUAUAGCCACCUUUGCUAUUCAAUUAAUCUUGACCCAUUAAUCUUGGAAAUUUAAGUACAUAACAAUAAGGUGUGACUAUCUAACGUUGAUGGUACAAUACACCUACUAUAAUCCUCCAAUGUCUAAAACUAAGGCCAGUAUGAGAAAGAAUAAACAGAUGAAAUGGAGUUUUGUGCACAUAAUACCUCAGGCCUCUCAUUGGAACCCACAUGUUGCAUUAUCAAUUUUAGUAAAAGUAGUAAAUAGUCAAAUUAACAGAAUUCUGAAUUAGAAAAUCAAUGUGAAUUAAGAGAGAAUUUUUUUUUACAAUUACUGAGAAUUUUGAACGACACCUCUUUAGCUUCUUCCAUGAGUUCCUGCCCCAGCUUCUUCAACAGCAAUACAGUUUUUGGUGUUGAUUUCCACAUAAGCAUCUGUUGCUGAGUACUAGGAUGAGUGAAGGCCAAGGAAGAUUCAGUAACCUUUUCUCUCGUACAAGAAAAACCAUCUGUUCUUACUAAAAACAUUUCUGCUUUCCUUCUUGACUGCACUCUUACAACCCCAGUUGCAGAAGCACACAUGUCUCCUUCAAUUGAGCCCAUCUCAUCAUCGCUAAGGCCUGAUGCCACCCCAUUUUUUGUAUGAACCUCCUCUAUAUAUUUAGACGCAACACGCUCAUUUAAACUGUCCUUCACAGUUGUAUUGACAUUAGUGUCAGGAACAGAAUAUAUCUUCCCUUCACCAAAUGCAUACAAAUCUGAACCAAUAGAUGUAAAACUACUGCUUUUCAGAUGCUUCUGACCUUCAACAGAAGAGUUCUCAAGUUUUGGAGAUAGAUUUUCACUACCAACUGAUCCGUUGGAUCCUUUUGCCUUCUCAAGUCCUGACAUGGGAUCAAUGCCCACAAGCUCACUUGAAACCGGCAACUUGUUCAACUUACCAAACUGAUAAUUCGAGUAAAUGGGAGGUGAGAUUCUUUUAGUCUUUAAAAACCUGGACAUCUCUGCUUUGGAGAAGAUAUCACAAGGGGGAAUUUGUGCCUUUAGAGGAUCAGUUUCCUGGCAGAUGUUAGCUGAAGAUCUUCCCACAUUAUCAAAUGUUUCCAUAGAUGUUGUACCCUGAACAGAAACAGGACCAUUGUAGGCCCUAUUAAGGCUUUGGCCGAUUUGAUCCUCAAUUUGAGACUCAACUUCAUGAGACACUCCAUUUGAAUCAUGAAGUUUAUCCAACGCCUCUUUCAGUGAUUCAUUUUUCUGAUCUUCAAGGGAGCUCACUCCAAUAAUAGAAGGGGCCUGAAAUUCUCUGGUUUCAUUUGUAUCUUGUAGCAUCAUAUCACUGGGAGUACUAAACUGAGAUGCACUGCGUGUCAUGUACUGCCUCCAUCUGGAGACCAUUGCAGAAGUCCUCCAAGCCCCUUCCUUACUAUGAAGAUAGAUGGGCCUUUUGCUGCAAUCUGAAACCAAAGAUGCAAACUUUUGAACCUGCUCCACUGAAGGUGCUGUCCUAACUUCAACAGGGAUUUUAAUCGAUUCAACUUUCCCAGACAAAAUAGCAGCAUCUACAGCUGCUUGAUAAAAGUUAUCCUUUAUAGUUUCUGCUCUGAGAUCUACGAUAGUCUUGAAUCCUUUCUCCACUAACCAAUUCAAACUUUCCUCUGUUACCUGAGCACCCCUGUAAAAUGCUACUUCAGAAUUUCUGGAUGCUGUGUCUUCUUUAGAAGUGGAUAAAUAAACAGGACUCCAAUUUGCAAACAGCGUGUGACGGGGGUAAUCAUCGUAACGGGGAAAGCCAGAAUCAUAGCAGACGUUCUUCAGCCUCUGCAGUUUCCUCCAUACAUCCAAGCUCCGAUAAUCAUCAGGUGUCAAAUAGUUUUCAAGAGCAACAUGCAAACUCUCGCAACACCUUUUCAUCUCACUCCUAAAAAUGGCAAGUGGUGGGAGCUUAUCCUCCAUCAUGCUUAUGUCUGUGGCAUGAAAGGAAUUCAUGAUAGAAGAUCUUCCAGAAAGAACACCCUCUUUUUCUUUAUUUAUAAGUGAUAGCAUGCAACCAAGCACAGACACUAUUUUAUCUUCCAAUACUGGAUUUUCCUCAUAAUCAUAUGAAACACUACAUUCCCCAGUCAAAGGAUUGCAUAAUGCAUCCAUCAACGCAGUAUGAAGCCGUUCAGAUGUUCUGAAUAUUCUACAAUAUGCCUCAACUUCAGCAAUAUCCCCAGGAACUGGACCAAUCCAAGGCAACUGUGAUGGAUCAUGGGACUGGACAACAUUCUGAGAGUCCAAACCCAUACUCAAGGAGAAAGCCCUUGACAAGUCCGCACUGACAACAAACUUAUGCUUCCUCUUCAACCGCUCCUUUCUCUGCAAUUCGACUCCAUACCCAAAACCCACUAGUUGGGCAUCUCUGCUAAGCUCAUGAGAACAUGCACACGGUAGUAAUCCGGUGACAGGAGACAAACGAUUCAUGUCGACGAUGGAAACUUGGCACAAGAAGAGACAUGCCACCAUAUGGAAUCAAGUUCAGUGCGUGGAUUACAAUUUUCACCUUCUUUAGGAAAAAAAAAAAAUAGGUGAGCUGGUCACGAAAGGGAAAAUAUAAAGUAUAUGUUUGGAUGAUGGGAAAGUGACGUUCAGUGAGGAUGUGGAUAAUAUCGUCAGGACAAUGGCGGGUGGCGGAAUGUAUAGUUAGAACAAGAAUUAUUGGGAUUUUGGAGGGAUAUUAUUGGUGCUUGUGGCUGUGGUGGAU